rnacentral:snoRNA from 1 species
AAAAUAUACUUCACUUAAGUAAAAAUUUCACAAUGAACUCACAAGCGUAGAUAGUGUGCUAGAUGGGGGGCAAGUCUUUUGCUAAUACAAGGAUCUCUGGCCCAAUGAAUGGAGUUUGAUCGUAGUUCUUACUUUAAGU